rnacentral:tRNA from 1 species
UGCCGAAAUAGCUCAUUUGGGGGAGAGCGUUAGACUGAAGAUCUAAAGGUCCCUGGUUAAUCCCGGGUUUCGCAG